AUGGAUUAUGCAUGUCUAAGUACAUACCUUUGACACGGUGAAACCGCGUAAUGGCUCAUUAAAUCAGUUAUGGUUCCUUAGAUCGUUAUUUUUACAUGGAUAACUGUGGUAAUUCUAGAGCUAAUACAUGCAAAAAGCUCGACCGUAUGGAAGAGCGCUUUUAUUAGACCAAACCAAUGGGUCGCAGAUCCUUUUAUUGGUGACUCUGGAUAACUUUGUGCUGAUCGCAUGGCCUAGAGCCGGCGAACGUAUCUUUCAAGUGUCUGCCCUAUCAACUUUCGAUGGUAAGCGAUUUGCCUACCAUGGUUGUAACGGGUAACGGGGAAUCAGGGUUCGAUUCCGGAGAGGGAGCAUGAGAAAUGGCUACCACAUCUACGGAAGGCAGCAGGCGCGCAAAUUACCCACUCCUAGAACCGGGAGGUAGUGACGAAAAAUAACAAUACCUGGACUCAAUGAGGCUCGGUAAUUGAAAUGAGUACAGUUUAAAACCCUUAACGAGGAUCUAUUGGAGGGCUUGUCUGGUGCCAGCAGCCAGCGUAAUUCCAGCUCCAAUAGCGUAUAUUAAAGUUGUUUGCAGUUAAAAAGCUCGUAGUUUGAUCUCGGGUACUAGCAUGUGGUCCUUUAUUGCAGUCAUACUACAUGUCUGGUCCUAAUCAACCGGUGCGUUGAUGCCUUAAUUGGGUGUUUUCGGUAGCCGGUCGUUUACUUUGAGAAAAUUAGAGUGUCUUUAAAGCAGGCCUUACCUCCCUGAAUAAUGUUCGAUGGAAUAAUAGAAUAGGACCUCGGUUCUAUUUUGUUGUUUUGUAGAGCAUUGAGGUAAUGAUUAAUAGGGACAGACGGGGGCAUUCGUAUUGCGGUGUUAGAGGUGAAAUUCUUGGAUCGCCGCAAGACGAACAACUGCCAAAGCAUUUCGCCAAGAAUGUUUUCAUUAAUCAAGAACGAAAGUUUGAGGUUCGAAGACGAUUAGAUACCGUCCUAGUUCAAACCAUAAACGUUGCCAACUGUCUUUUAGAUGCGGUUAUUUAUAUGACUCAUCUGGCGGAUCUCGAGAAAUCUAAGUUUUUAGGUUCCGGGGGAAGUAUGGUUGCAAAGCUGAAACUUAAAAGAAUUGACGGAAGGACACACAAGAAGUGGAGCCUGCGGCUCAAUUUGACUCAACACGGGAAAAUCUCACCCGGCCCGGACACUGUUAGGAUUGACAGAUUGAGAGCUCUUUCUUGAUUCGGUGGGUGGUGGUGCAUGGCCGUUCUUAGUUGGUGGAGCAAUUUGUCUGGUUAAUUCCGAUAACGAACGAGACUCUAGCCUGCUAAUAGUACGCCGAUCUUUAGUCGGCGCGUACUUCUUAGAGGGACAAGUAGCGGUUAGCUACACGAAAGGGAGCAAUAACAGGCCUGUGAUGCCCAAGAUGUUGGGGGCCGCACGCGCGCUACACUGAAGGGAUAAGCGUCUUCUUCCUGCUCCUGAAAGGAGUGGGUUAACCUGCGCUGAAACCCCUCCGUGAUUGGGAUCGGGGCUUGAAAUAAUUCUCCGUGAACGAGGAAUCCCAGUAAGCGCGAGUCAUAAGCUCGCGUUGAUUAAGUCCCUGCCCUUUGUACACACGCCCGUCGCUACUACCGAUUGAAUGUUUUAGUGAGAUCUUCGGCUUGGUUUUCUGCCGAGGGCCCCUCUAGGCACUUAGAAGCAAGAAUUCAAACUUGAUCAUUUAGAGGAUAAAAGUCGUAACAAGGUAUUCGUAGGUGAACCUGCG
rnacentral:rRNA from 1 species